AAAUUUGUAAAUCUCCGAUUUGCCGUGACCUAAAGUGUCUACUAUGGUUCGGUGAGCGUUAGGGUUGAAAGGGAAACUUCUCAGCCUCCCGGAAUUGGAAAGGAGAAACCACAUGUUAGAC
rnacentral:ncRNA from 1 species